GACGAACGCUGGCGGCGUGCUUAACACAUGCAAGUCGAGCGGUAAGGCCCUUUCGGGGGUACACGAGCGGCGAACGGGUGAGUAACACGUGAGUAAUCUGCCCUUCACUUCGGGAUAAGCACCGGAAACGGUGUCUAAUACUGGAUAUGAGCAUCCUGCGCAUGUGGGGUGUUGGAAAGUUUUUCGGUGGGGAUGUGCUCGCGGCCUAUCAGCUUGUUGGUGAGGUAAUGGCUCACCAAGGCUUCGACGGGUAGCCGGCCUGAGAGGGUGACCGGUCACACUGGGACUGAGACACGGCCCAGACUCCUACGGGAGGCAGCAGUGGGGAAUAUUGGACAAUGGGCGGAAGCCUGAUCCAGCAACGCCGCGUGAGGGAUGACGGCCUUCGGUUGUAACCUCUUCUAGUACUGACGAAGCGCAAGUGACGGUAGGUACAGAAGAAGACACCGGCCAACUACGUAGCCAGCAGCCGCGGUAA
rnacentral:rRNA from 1 species